rnacentral:piRNA from 1 species
UUCCUAGUAAUAUUUUGUUCG